ACUCAGCAACCUGCAUAGCAAUAGAAGGCAGCACUCAGCUGGGAAGAUACCCCAUUUUCCCCAGAUUCUUCUAACUGGCCUUCACUCAUCCCAGUGUGCUCAGAUGAACAUUUGGACCUGCUAAGCAAUGUCAUUUACUACUGUCCUGUGCACAGGUUACUUGAUCUCUCUAGCCUUCAAUUUCUUCUGUUCAGCAGACAGACUGGAUCCGGAAUUGACUACGAGGCACUCCAGAAAAUAAUUCUUGGUCAGAUUAUUUAAAGUAGGGAAACCUAGCCUAAGUAUGAUGCCCAGAUAAAGGGGAUAGAAGAAGAAAGCAUUUUUCUUUUUGCCUGCUUGCCUUCACUCUUGCUGGCAAGUUCACCUACAUUGUUGUUGACACAUUCCUUCACUGAUAUUAGGACUCAGCUUUGAACUUUCACCAUGGACUGAAGGCCAGUGUUUCUCCAGGAUCUUCUGGGUCUUCAGUGCCAGAUUGGAACUUCUGAGGAAUCCAGCUAGUGGGAUGAGCAACUACCAGGUUGUUCUCUGGUGUGAGACAACCAUUGUUGGACUGCACAGACCAUAUCAGGCACAUGGACAUUCACAUGGUGUGAGGGAGUCUUGGCCAGGAGGAACCCAAGGAUUUCCAGACUAUUUACAAAAUAAACAAGCUGGCCACAAGGUGAAUGACCCAGAAAGUAACAACUACUGCCAACCCGAGUGGACAAUGACCACCAGGACCGGCUUCUUCCAUCUACUCUCUGGGAGGCUGGAAGGAUGGGUUCUUGGCACACUGCAGAACCCGCUAUCUACUCCACCAAGCACCCAUCUGCAAAGCUGAGACUACAGGGUUCCUUCAGGAUCACUGAGAAGCUAUUUCCCUGAGAGAAGGGCCUCCACAGGGCAUGAGUUACUCUCUUCUGAUGGCUUCUGGACCAUCACUCCUUCCUCGGGCCUCUGGCUGGGUUGGAUCAUGUCCUCCCAAAAAAUGUUGAAGUCUCACCCACUGGGAUUGUAUUAGGGGGCCAAUGCACAUGUAAUUAGUAAAGUUGAGGUGAGGCCCCAAAGUCCGUGAGAGCUGUGACCCUAUAAGAGGAGUGACUCGGAGCUAGAGAGAUAGCUCAGUCAGUAAAAUUCCUGCCACACAAGCACCAUGUGAGGAAACCAGAAGCAGCAGCACACACUUGAAUUUCAGCACUGGAGAGGUAGAGACAGGCAGAUCCUGGAGCUUGCUGGACAGCCAUCCUAGCUGAAGCAGCAAGCUCCAAGAUCCCUGCCUCAAUAAGCAAACAAACAAAGUUGAUGGCACUUGAGGAUGACACCUAAUGUUAACAUCUGAUACACACAAACACGUGUACACAUGUGCACACAUGUGCACCCAGACCUACAUAUACACACACACACAUGUAUCCAGACAUUACACACACACACACACACACACACACACAAACAUAUACACGCACACAUACACUCAGACCUUCAUAUACAUAUGUACAAAAAAUAUGUGGAGUACUGUAGAGGUUUGUUACAGCAGCAUAUUAAGGGCCAUCAGCCAGCCUGGACCACUAAAGCAAAGAAACAUCCUUGCAGGUGUCUGGUAUAUAGUGUGUCACUCUACAGCUUGGCCUCAGACUUCUAGCCUCCUGAACUCCUGUUACAUGAAGCGGCCUAGUUUGUGGCACCCUGUUCCAGCUGUCGUGGGAAACUAAUAUGGGUCCUAAAUUCUGAACCCAUAUACCCCCACCCUUCCUCUGUCACCAUCCAUAGGGCAGAGAUAUAGCAGUGCCCACAAACCCAAACUCUAGGAGGAGGUUGGUUCCCAAGUAGCCAUGAAAAAGUACAAAGGUCUUAGCAUAGCAAGUCCCAGGGUGUUCAGGACAAGAAAAAGAGAAAGACAAGUGGUCCCUCUCCCAAAGCAGGGUCCCAACAUGAGAAGGAAGAGGGCAGGCUGGAAAUGGGUGGGCAAGGGGAGGCUGAGAUGUAACUAUUUUUAAUUCUUA